rnacentral:rRNA from 1 species
GGCUGUCGUCAGCUCGUGUCGUGAGAUGUUGGGUUUAAGUCCCGCAACGAGCGUCAACCCUUGUCAUUAGUUACUAACAUUAAGUUGAGGGCUCUAAUGAGACUGCCAGUGAUAAACUGGAGGAAGGUGGGGAUGACGUCAAAUCAUCAUGCCCCUUAUGACCUGGGCUACACACGUGCUACAAUGGUCGGUACAAAGAGUCGCGAAGCCGUGAGGCCAAGCUAAUCUCAUAAAACCGAUCUCAGUUCAGAUUGUAGUCUGCAACUCGACUACAUGAAGUCGGAAUCGCUAGUAAUCGCGAAUCAGCAUGUCGCGGUGAAUACGUUCUCGAGUCUU